CGACGUUGUCAGUUUCACGGUUCAUUUGUCAACACACUAAGCCAUCAUAAAAUAUUUUAUAAUAUUCUUCGUCUUUUACACUUCUGGAACUUGGAGUUCUUUGGAAAAUAUUUAAACUUCUGCCGCGUGCGACAGUGAAAUGUACUGUCGUGGACCAUUAUUGUAUACUGUUCAAAUGCCUGAUGUAUUCAAUGAUUCUAAGAUGUUUGUAGACAUGAAAAUGAAAUUAUUACCUAAUGAAACCAUGGAUAAAUUCAUGGAUAAUAUGAGAUAUUGGAAAUAUAAACCAACCAAAGAUCUUCUGAUGGAGUUCGUCCGUGAAUUUUUUGAUAAAGGAGAUUCUGAGUUUGAAAAAUUGACUCCCACCGAUUGGAUCAAAGAACCAAAACUUGUUAAUAGUAUUAAGGAUGAACAAUUUAAUAAUUGGACAAUAGAAAUAAAUGCAAUAUGGAUAGAAGUUUAAUUAAUUAAAAAAUUUUAUUAAUAAAAAUGGAAAACAUUGUACUUUAGCAGUAUAUAUAUAUUAUAUUUAUAAGGUUAUUUGUUAACAGGACCACGACCCGAAUCAUACAUGUUAAUUUUAGUUUUGUACUUUAUAGAAGUUAUCACAAAUUUAAUUUAUGGGUUUAUAAAUAUUAAUUGAUGUUACUGAUUAUUUUUGACUGAACAGUGAACACUAGCAUGGGUGGAAUUAAUAAUUAACGUUUUGUCUUAAUUUCAAAUUUAUUUAAUUAUUCUGUGGCACUGUGCAUUUUUAUAUUAAGUACUACCUAUUUGCCUAAGAAUCAUACAUGUUUAUACUUGGGGUUAAUAGAAAAUAACAUCUACAUUUCAAAUUUUUAUAAUUUCAAAAUAUGUUUUGUAUUAUAACAGGGAAGACAUGACCAAAGCACAACCCCUAACAACUGAAAGUGAAAAAAAAACUUUAAUUCUGAGAUCAAGGCUGCGGCGGCGGAAUCUGGGUGGAACUUUUCGAGUCGUCGGGUCAUCCUCAAUGGAACGAAUGAAGGAAUCAAUUUAUUAUCGACGAUGAUGUCGGUACCAAUAUUAUAGCUGUUAAGAAAAAGAUAAGGUGGAAUUUGCUUUCACAUUAAGAUGGUCACCGGGUAGUUUGAUCACUAUAGUCAACACACAAGGCGGCAGUAGGCACCACUCAAUAUAUCACUUCGGGCACACCUUUUAACGACAUCCCUCUCCCCCCCUUGAAGUUACCACCUGAGAUGAACCACAACAACAACGUGUUCGUGGUAUCGAAUGCUGAUAGCAAAGCGGAUAUCAUGUGUGGCGAGGUGGUGGUUGUGGAUUGCGAGGCGGUAAUUGUGACUGGUUAGGUGGUAAUCACGGUUGGCAUAAUGACAACGAAGAGCGGUAUGUCGAAGGUAGCAAUGGCGAUCGUGAAUUGUUUAAAGUUAAAAAUCUAUGAAAUUCGAAACUAAUUUAUAUGGAAAUACUGUAUACCUAAAGUAGAAACACUAUAGUCUAUAAUUUAGUUUUAGGCUGGAAAAAAAAUAAGUACGCUAGCGUUGCAUAAACAAAUUAACUUUUUUUUAACUUAUUAAAAAGUUAACAAAAAGUGUGUAUUAACUUUUAACUUAACUGAGUUAACCUAUAGUUAAAUUAAAUUUUAACUUUUAAAUUUUUUCUAUUGGUGCAUAUUAACUUAACUUAACUGAGUUCAAAAAAAAUCAUUAACUUGCUAUGAUAAUAUGUAUUUAA